rnacentral:rRNA from 1 species
GACGAACGCUGGCGGCGUGCUUAACACAUGCAAGUCGAACGAUGUUCAGGAGCUUGCUCCUGUGAUUAGUGGCGAACGGGUGAGUAACACGUGAGUAACCUGCCCCUGACUCUGGGAUAAGCGUUGGAAACGACGUCUAAUACUGGAUACGAUCACUGGCCGCAUGGUCUGGUGGUGGAAAGAUUUUUUGGUUGGGGAUGGACUCGCGGCCUAUCAGCUUGUUGGUGAGGUAAUGGCUCACCAAGGCGACGACGGGUAGCCGGCCUGAGAGGGUGACCGGCCACACUGGGACUGAGACACGGCCCAGACUCCUAAGGGAGGCAGCAGUGGGGAAUAUGGCACAAUGGGCGAAAGCCUGAUGCAGCAACGCCGCGUGAGGGAUGACGGCCUUCGGGUUGUAAACCUCUUUUAGUAGGGAAGAAGCGAAAGUGACGGUACCUGCAGAAAAAGCACCGGCUAACUACGUG